GCGGAUAUGGCGGAAUUGGCAGACGCGCGUGGUUCAGGUCCACGUUCUCGCAAGGGAGUGGAGGUUCAAGUCCUCUUAUCCGCACCA
rnacentral:tRNA from 1 species